rnacentral:rRNA from 1 species
GACGAACGCUGGCGGCGUGCUUAACACAUGCAAGUCGAACGGAAAGGCCCUGCUUUUGUGGGGUGCUCGAGUGGCGAACGGGUGAGUAACACGUGAGUAACCUGCCCUUGACUUUGGGAUAACUUCAGGAAACUGGGGCUAAUACCGGAUAGGAGCUCCUGCUGCAUGGUGGGGGUUGGAAAGUUUCGGCGGUUGGGGAUGGACUCGCGGCUUAUCAGCUUGUUGGUGGGGUAGUGGCUUACCAAGGCUUUGACGGGUAGCCGGCCUGAGAGGGUGACCGGCCACAUUGGGACUGAGAUCAGGCGCAGACUCCUACGGGAGGCAGCAGUGGGUAAUAUUGCACAAUGGGCGGAGGCCUGAUGCAGCAACGCCGCGUGCGGGAUGACGGCCUUCGGGUUGUAAACCGCUUUCGCCUGUGACGAAGCGUGAGUGACGGGAAUGGGUAAAGAAGCACCGGCUAACUACG